rnacentral:lncRNA from 1 species
AUGACAGCUGAGUGGGUUGACAUGGCCACCCCAGACAAUCUGCUGUUCCUGGACACAGAUGCUGUCAACUCUUCCUUCGCUUCACCGCCCAUAGAGGAAAAUGAGCCCACUCGUGCCACGGACAACCAGACAGAUGACAGCUUUAGUUCAGUCCCUGAUCAACACCCUGAUCCAGACUCAGGAAGCUCAGGAUUAAUGCCAGUUCCGUGCCAGGAUGGGACCAUUGAGAUCCAUAAUACAAACAUUGAAAGGGAAAAUGAGAGUGGUUUAGUCUUAAGACAGCCCCUGGAUCACACUGCAGUGAUAGAAAUGAAUAAAAGUGAUAACUGUGACUUCAGUACUGCUGCUAUAAUGGAGACUGACAGUAUCACAAACAGUACUAACAUCCCUAACCUAAUUCACCUAUUGGACAGAAAUCGAAAUGACAAACAUGGUAACUCAAACACUAAAGCGGAUCCAAAUGAGGCUCAUGGCACUUUAAUGAGUCCAUUAUUAACAGAACACAACAGACAAGAAGAAAUGAGCCAAGACACCAUUUUAAACCAAUAUGCCUCUUUUGAGAGCAUUGGACUUGAUGUUAACCCAAUGGCUAAUGAUGAUGGUCCCUUGGUAAAUACUGUCUCUAAUGUAAUGAAUGGUGCAAGCAAUGAGACUGAUGCAACUUCUUCUGAAACCCUCAUCCAGACUUGCCAGGAUACAUCUGAAGGUGUUGAUGUAGCAGUGGAAGCGGCGACUGCCUAUAAAACUCAUCCAGAAAUUCAUGACAUUGCAGAGAACUUGACAUGUGGACCACUGGCAACUGAGAAAACAGAUAAUUCUGAGUCACUUUUCCACCAAUCCAUGCUUAAAACCUCACAAAUUGGUGAAAAACAUGAGAAGGAUCUCUCACAAGUGAUCCCUUGCCCAACAUCUGUCACGAAUAGAGAUUUAGGUAAAUGUUCUGAGGAGAUUGAUGGUGCUUGCUUAAAGUUCACAAGAAUGGAACAUGAUGUUGAGGCUGGUAGCGAGUUGUGGCUGUUUCUUCUAGAGUCAUAUUUGACAAACUCAUUACAAAAGUAUGGC